CCGUGGAAGCCCGGAUGGAGACCGCUUAUUGUAGAAGCUCGGCUGAAGUCCGCCUGCAAUAGAAGUUCAGACGAAAUUUGCUUACUGUAGAAACUUGGAUGGUGUCUGGUUACUAUAGAAGCCCUGCUGCUGGAGAAGCCCGGACAUUGACGAAGUUCGAAAGAAGCUCGGAGUAAAGUCGAUCAUGAUAGGAGGAAGUCUAGAAGAGAUUCGAAGAGUAGUCGAUCACUAUAGAAAAUCAAAUGAUAGUGAAGCCCAGAGAGCAUUUGGAGUAGUCCGGUAGACGACUAAAGGAGCUCAUCAUCGAAGAAGUUCGGAGGGUACGAUAGGAGUUCGUCCAU
rnacentral:lncRNA from 1 species